GCCGUCUGCGCCCGGAGGACAGGACCUGCCCCGGCUUCUGGGUUCCCCAGGGAUCCCCAGAUUGAGCUGCCCCCAGAUCCUUGUGCUUCAGCCUGCUCCCAAGGCGGGCAGAGGGUGAGCUGAGACAGACUGAGCUCUAACCAGCAUUGACGUCAUGGAAAGCGGAUUUCUUUCAUUCCUGCCUAGCAUUUAUUGUCCCUGCUCCGUCUGCGUGUGGAAAACCCCAGGCAAAGGUUAGAUCUUGCUGGAUGGAUGAGGCACAGACAGAGGGCCUGGGGAUGGAGGUGGGCUUGGGUGUGGGCUGGUGAGCAGUCGGGGAGGCCGGGCAGGAGAGGGGUCCUGGGCUGAGCCCAGGAAGGUAGCAGUUUUCAGCCCCAAAGGAGAAUCGGGUAACUUCGAGAAGGCCUGAGCGAAGCCCCAGCACGCACCAGGGCACAGAGCCCAGGAGCUCCGGGGUGCACGCAGGCUGGGGGACGCUGCAGGAGGGCUUGGGGGAGGCCGGCAGGAGAAUAGAGCAGCCUGCAAAGUGGGCAGCCCCGGCAGGGCUCCCAGUUUUGCGUUCGGGGAAGUUCCCUCCGGCUGUAGUGUUCUGGACUUUGACCCAAAGACCCUGUCUGGGUUGCUGAGUCUCACCCGGGUGUCGUGACAACUCUGUUGGUUGUCGUCUGUGACGUGGACCGCGUGCAUCUGAUCCACGAGGAGUAAGAAAGUACGGCAAUUUGCUAAACGAGCCAGAAGAAUUAACGAGUUUGCACAGUUUUAAGAACAAAGCCUUUAAGAAACCCAAGGUCUGUGGGGUUUGCAAGCAGAUUAUUGACAGCCAAGGGAUUUCAUGCCGAGGUGGUGACUCGCCGCGGUGUGCAGGUGUACCUGGGACAGGUAAGUCCUCGCUGUUCCCUGGGGCCCCGGCUUGUCAUGCGGGACUGUCUCUGUCUUGAUGUGGGACCCUCUUUGGGGCUGUCAGGCUCCCUCUGGACCUCAGACAGGACCCACUCCACUCACAGAGCCUCUGCAUGGACCCCGGGCCUCAGGCACUCGCCCUAGCACGCUUUCCCUAGUGACCAGAGCCAUGCCUGCCUUUC
rnacentral:lncRNA from 1 species